rnacentral:lncRNA from 1 species
GGUUAUAUCACGGCCAUCAAGAUCUUGGUCGUUCAAGGCCUCGAUUGCAUCCCUCGUGGAUUGCACAAUUGCAAAGGUAACGAAUCUGAAACCCCUUGUUCACCUUUAUUAUGGAUUUCAUCCUUUGCUCCUUUAUUUCUUAUUGAUGGUUAUAAUGGUGAUUUUGGGUUAUGAUAUGAAGCAAAUGGUGUUGGAGGUAAUGAGAGGAGAGGGUGGUGAUGAAAUGAGUUUUUAAUCUAUGUUUUGGAAUUAAAAAAAAUAAAGUAAUACAUGUCACAAUAUAAGUGAUGUUAGGAGAUAAAUUAUCUCUUUGUAUCAAAAGAUACUUUAUUCUCUAAAUAUGAUUAGAGAUCAUAAAGAUUGGCCACUCACAAUAUCACAAGUUAAUUUAAUUGGAGCUGGAUAUUUUAUUCCUUCAAAAUGGUGUGAUAUUUCACAACCUUUUGUAACAUCAUAUGCUGAAAACACAUUUAUAGGCUGAUCUAGCUCACAUAUAUGUUAUCAAUUUGCAUGAUUUGGCCACUUUACAUUAAUACUAACAAAACCUGGUGCAUUACUAUAGCCAACAAUACCUCCGUUUAGAAUGUCCCAAAGGCAAUCAGUUCCACAUCUCUCAUGAUCUCUCUUAUAUGUGUAAAUAACAUAUAGGAUUGAAGCUUCUUUCCAUGAUAUACUACAAAGGUAUAAUGUUGUGUGAGAAAUGUUGGGCUCGAAAAUCAAUUUAUAUGUUGUUCGAUUAAAGCUAUAGUUGGGAACCUCAUGAACUCCAAGAUCAUUGCCUUCCCCAGAUUUGCAGUGAAUUGUGGCAUUCAAAUCAUCAUGCAAAGAAAUUCUUAAGGUAACAGUCACUGUGCUUUCACCUUUUACUACAGGAGAAGAUUCCCAAAAUGCAAUGAGUAGUGCUAGUAUAAAAACAUGCUUCAUUGAAAUUGAAAGAAACAUUCUUUAAACUAUAGUUGGAUUUGAGAGAAAUGUAGGAAUGUAUCUGGAAAUUGCCUCUUCUCUUCAUCAAUGGGUGGAUUUUAUAGGACCAAGGGG